GAUAGGAUGUUCUUGGAGUUAAGUUACUUAAAAUAGCUCAGUUUAACUGAACAGAAUGAGAGGAAUGGGAGUAGGGGGAGUGUGCGACAUCACAGUGAUCCACAUUGACAGUUACGUCACUACUCUGUCGCCUUGCUCAAAUCUCAUUCCCUCCCAUAGCCUGAACUUUGGUCAGACCUCGCAGGAGCUCUCAUUCCAGCAGUGCACCCUGGACACUGAACCACCUCUGAACUGUGGGGAAGAUUUGCCCGGCGGUUGGCAACACAUGCGUUGUGCAAACAAUAAUAUUGUGUUGUUGGGGUUUAACUUUAGUCCUGCUUCUCUGUGGAUGCCACUAAAUCCGUUGUAGAGGACAAUUCUGAUGGACUGGCGGAGAUGUCUGGGGAGGAUCUGUGCUCAUGGUGAUUCCAGAAGGAACAUUCUGCUGAGUGAAGCGGGGAGUGAGUUGCAUGUGCUUGUUCUGGCUCCAUAAGGGACAUCACAGCACCAGACAACCAAAAGCCACGAAAGCCCACAGCAGAACAUGGACUUGGAUACGCCAGUAAGCUACUGACACUGGAUUGAGUGUAACUUCAAAUUUUUGUAUCCAGGGAACUUUUAGUGUGAACAGGAAGUUGACCGAUGGAGACUGGUCUGUCUUCAUGGGCCAUCGUGGCCAUAGUGUGUAACUCUGUAGUGGGCUUCCUCACCCUCAUCCUCUUUGUGAUCCUCUACAAGGCCUGCAAGGUGCCCUCCUGCCAAGAGAGGGCGCCAGUACUGAUACCAGCCCAGGAGCAGCAGGGUGUGGAGCAGAAAUACUUACUGACUGCCGCCUAGUCAUGGAGGUUGUUAAUGGUGGUGCGGGGCAUUACUUUUUAAAUACUAAUUUGCCAAACAGACUACCACUGACUGUUUACCGACAUUGUGUGAAGGAGCCUGAAGAAAAAUAACACGACAAACAUUACACAUUACACAAAAACAAAAUACACCCAUAUAAAUCCUCUUAGCUCCUUGGCUCAGCUUUGGGACUAUCCAUCUGUCAAUCUGUUUACACUCAGCAGACUGGCUUCCCUCUGCUCAACUGCAACGAGCCACAGUCUGGGGAACAAGGAAAAGAUAAAAUGAGGAAGUGAAUGACAAGAGAGAGAGAGAGAACGGGAGGGAGAGGGGGAACGAGAACAGCUCUCAUCUCAUCAGUUUGAUGUUUACUACCUAACUGUAGAAAUAAUGAUCCUAAAGAUAGUGGAACAAGCUACGAGAGAGAUGGAGUAGGGAGAGAUAGAGAGAUGGAUGCAGAACAAAGGAAGGAUGUGAAGGAGGAAGACAGAAAGAUAUGUUUUGAUGAGAUGUUGUUUACGGAAAGUAAGCAUGGCCCUUUGUGUCUCCAGCUCCCACAGAUCAUCUCUCAAGGAUUAUGAAAACGAACAACCACUGAGAGAAACAAAAGUGACACUUCAACUAAAAGUUAUGCUAAAACAUUUAGCCUUUGUCUAUCUGCCACUUACUGGAAUGGUAUGAAGCAUUACAUCGACACAGACAACCUUCAAAGUGACACCCAAAGAGAUAGGCGUUCGUUGUGUCUGUUUAAGGACUGUUUUCAUCGCUAAUAAUGGUGUGACAGCAAGAAUCUAAAUCACUGCCAGGUGCUGCCCUCAACGUUACCAUAUGUGAAUGUGUAAGAAUGAUGGUGUGACGUUGUUCUACAAACUAUGGACAUAACACCGGGUUUGUUGUUUUUAGUAACUAAAUAAAAUGUUUUACAUUUGUGUGCCUUUUACCACAUCGAUAAUGUCCUCAUAACCAGCACAAAAUAACAACCACAUCCACAAGUGCACAGUGAAGCAGUUACUACAAUAAAGGCAAGGGGUUUUGCAGGUCUUGAA